rnacentral:misc_RNA from 1 species
AACGCACAUUGCGCCCUUUGGUAUUCCUUAGGGCAUGCCUGUUCGAGCGUCAUCUAACCCUUCAAGCUCCGCUUGGUGUUGGGCGCUUGUCCCGCCACUGGCGUGGACUCGCCUUGAAAACAUUGGUGGCCAUCUGUAGGGCUAUUAUGAGCGCAGUACAUCUCGCUGCUCAGGCUCCUCAGGUGGUGUCCAGCAAGAACCCCCAAGAAUUGACCUCGGAUCAGGUAGGGAUACCCGCUGAACUUAA